GACGAACGUUGGCGGCGUGCUUAACACAUGCAAGUCGAACGAUGAAGAAGAGCUUGCUCUUCGGAUUAGUGGCGAACGGGUGAGUAACACGUGACUAACCUGCCCCUUUCUCUGGGAUAACGCUCCGAAAGGAGUGCUAAUACCGGAUACUCACAUCGAAGCACAUGCCUUGAUGUGGAAAGUUUUUCGGAAAGGGAUGGAGUCGCGGCCUAUCAGCUUGUUGGUGAGGUAACGGCUCACCAAGGCGACGACGGGUAGCCGGCCUGAGAGGGCGGCCGGCCACACUGGGACUGAGACACGGCCCAGACUCCUACGGGAGGAAGCAGUGGGGGAUAUUGCACAAUGGGCGAAAGCCUGAUGCAGCGACGCCGCGUGAGGGAUGAAGGUCUUCGGAUUGUAAACCUCUUUCAGUAGGGACGAAGCGAAAGUGACGGUACCUAAAGAAGAAGCACCGGCUAACUACGUGCCAGCCGCCGCUGUAA
rnacentral:rRNA from 1 species